CUCUCUCUUCCUCUCUCUCUCCCUAGCCCUUCUCCCUGCCUCUCAAAAAUAAAAUAAAUACACAUUAAAAAAGGCAGUGCCCUCCCGGAACCUUCCAGUGCCAGCCAUUUGAAUCACCACCCACUUUGCCCAGAUGUAAGGCCUGCAGGGAGAAAACUCAGACGUCAUCCGGACUUGGUGGGUCGUGCUGGGACUGAGGGUGAGCCUGAGGCUCACUGCCUGGAGAAAAGACAAGGUUCUUAUACAGAUCCUAAAGCUACCACAGCUGGGUUGGUGCCUGUUCUAGAACAGAAGUUCUCCAAGGGCGGUCACAGGCCAGCAGGAUCAGCAUCAGCUAUGCUAGGUGUGGGACCUGGCAAUCUGUGAUUUAACGAGCCCUGCAGGUGAUUCCAACGUGCCCCUAAGCAUGAGGGCGCUGCUCAAGACCUGUGCUUUCAGGAAUCACUAACCACAUAAGCCUGUUUCAAUUUAAAUUAGUCAAAUUUAAAGGAAACUAAACAUUCAAGCUCUUCCAUCACACCAGCCACCUUUCAAAUGUUCAGUCGCCACCCAAUUGGACAGCAUAGAUCUAGAACAUGGCCAUCAUCACAGAAAGUUCUAUUGGGUUGCGAUACUCUAGAACUUUGCUACUUCCUGUGGUCCACAGACAUGAGCAUUGGCAUCACCUGGGAGUUGCUUAGAAAUGCAGAACUCAGGCUCCAUCCCAGAACUUCUGAUUCAGAGUCUGCUUUUUUGCCAGAAACCCAGGUGCCAGAUUGCCCUGCAGCUUUCAGUUUGGCUCAACGAUACAAAAUUGUUGAUAAUUCAACUGUUUUUUGACCUAUAAAGCCGCAAACAGCAAGGUGACUGGUGGCCUAAAUGGGCUGUCCGAAGCCCCUCAGGAACUGGGCGUGGGGCGGGAGGAAGAUGCCCAGAUGGUUGGGGUGUUCGGGUCUCAUGCAAGAAUAGAUGUCCCUUAAGGAGCUGUCCCAGACGGUCAAGGGCAGCCUGCUGGUGUGCACAGGCAAAGGGCACUGUGCCUGCAGGAAGCAUAAAUUUAUAUUGGAGUAUCUAAAUGGGAGCUCAGGUGGCCCCCCUCACCACAGACUGGGCAGCACAGGCAGUUCAUUUCCUUAGAAUCUGCAAAGUUUUCUGCAGUCGGUGGCCUUCUGUCUGAUGCGCGCUCCCAGGAGUCCUGUCGAAGCAAGCUGAUCAGCAUGCCGCUGCCUGUCCAGAAUACCAAACAGCAAUGCGGGCUCCCGUCCCUCCACCACAGCCCGCUAUGCUGGCACCAGCUCUGCCCUCCAAGAGCCCUUUCCCUCCCUCCACCGUGGCUUUUCUACAAACCCACUUGUUUCCAGGUGGCAGAAAUGCACCCCGCAAUCCAACAAUAUGUUUCUAAAACCUUCUCCAUGACAACGCAGGGCCAUAAGCAGGCUGCCGGCUCAGAGUUAGCCAGAGAAGGGCUGUGGGGGGAGAUCGCUGUGGGGGAGACGGCACAGAGACAGCACAGGGCAGCCGGGGAUGCCCAAAGUCAGCCUGAGCAGUCUGGGGCUUAAUGUCCCAAGCUCUGGGAAAGGGGUCUGGGGAAGCCGUGAGCAAAUGUCUCCAGAUGCCUAGCAGUGAUCAUUCACAAACCUUGACUUUAGUCCAGGACAGCGUGGACUUCCUCUCUUCCUGUUACAGGUGAACAAGAGGAGAGAAAUCGUGAGAAUCCAGCAGAGAAGGACCUGGUUUUUUAAAUGGGCUGCCACUGCUUUGUGAUUGGACAAAUUCUUUUUUUUUUUUUUUGAUAUAAUUUAUUGUUAAA